UAAUAUAAAAAAAGUGAUGUCUUAUCUUAUCUUAUAUAAUACAGACGUUACUUCAAAAAAGAAGAUGAUUACGUCCUACGCGUCAUGCAUUUAGUCAUGCAUAUUAACCAAUGACUUAAAUUCUGUCUUAAAACAGUUGAGUGUACAUUUGACCAGUGGUCAGUACAGUAUCUCUGUCUGUGUGACAGCUUGUGGUCUGUCGUGUAAUUAUUUUAUUAUUCUGUACCUGGGACGGCCUUUUUGUUAUGACUUUGCAAUGCGCACCGCCAUCCAAGAUAGUGCAGAAAGAAGGUGCGCACUAUCAGUGACCAGACAAGUCGGAUGUUGACAUAAGAGACUAACGAUUUCCGCCCAAGUAGAGAGCCAAUAUGGAGAUGCUGUACUCAAGGCAGAUGCCCUUUGUGUUUGUCAUGUCUCAGUGUAAAUAAACGUCUAUGUCCUCGU